rnacentral:rRNA from 1 species
UACAGAGGGUGCAAGCGUUGUUCGGAAUUAUUGGGCGUAAAGGGCGCGUAGGCGGUGCUGUAAGUCUGUGGUGAAAUCUCUGGGCUCAACUCAGAGUCUGCCAUAGAAACUGUAGUGCUAGAGUGUGGGAGAGGUGAGUGGAAUUCCCGGUGUAGCGGUGAAAUGCGUAGAUAUCGAGAGGAACACCUGUGGCGAAAGCGGCUCACUGGACCACAACUGACGCUGAGGCGCGAAAGCUAGGGGAGCAAACAGG